GUACGGCGAGUGAAGCGGUAAAAGCUCAAAUUUGAAAUCUGGUACUUUCAGUGCCCGAGUUGUAAUUUGUAGAAUUUGUCUUUGAUUAGGUCCUUGUCUAUGUUCCUUGGAACAGGACGUCAUAGAGGGUGAGAAUCCCGUUUGGCGAGGAUACCUUUUCUCUGUAAGACUUUUUCGAAGAGUCGAGUUGUUUGGGAAUGCAGCUCAAAGUGGGUGGUAAAUUCCAUCUAAAGCUAAAUAUUGGCGAGAGACCGAUAGCGAACAAGUACAGUGAUGGAAAGAUGAAAAGAACUUUGAAAAGAGAGUGAAAAAGUACGUGAAAUUGUUGAAAGGGAAGGGCAUUUGAUCAGACAUGGUGUUUUUUGCAUGCACUCGCCUCUCGUGGGCUUGGGCCUCUCAAAAAUUUCACUGGGCCAACAUCAAUUCUGGCAGCAGGAUAAAUCAUUAAGAAUGUAGCUACUUCGGUAGUGUUAUAGCUUUUUGGAAUACUGUUAGCCGGGAUUGAGGACUGCGCUUCGGCAAGGAUGUUGGCAUAAUGGUUAAAUGCCGCCCG
rnacentral:rRNA from 1 species